rnacentral:tRNA from 1 species
GUCAUUGGAUAGCUCAGUUGGUGAGAGCAGGGGGCUGAUAACACCAAGGUUGCAGGUUCGAUCCCUGUAUGGGACA